rnacentral:rRNA from 1 species
UACAGAGGGUGCAAGCGUUGUUCGGAUUUACUGGGCGUAAAGCGCGCGCAGGCGGUUCUGUAAGUCGGACGUGAAAGCCCGGGGCUCAACCUCGGAAGUGCGUCUGAUACUGCAGGACUGGAGUACUGGAGAGGAGAGCGGAAUUCCCGGUGUAGAGGUGAAAUUCGUAGAUAUCGGGAGGAACACCAGUGGCGAAGGCGGCUCUCUGGACAGAUACUGACGCUGAGGCGCGAAAGCGUGGGAAGCAAACAGG